GACACGCAAACUUCUCAACAGGCCGUACCAAUAUCCGCAGCUGGUCUCCAAGGUGAAGAGUCUCUAGUCGAUAGAAUAAUGUAGGUAAGGGAAGUCGGCAAAUUAGAUCCGUAACUUCGGGAUAAGGAUUGGCUCUGAAGAUUGAGAUAGUCGGGCUUGAUUGGGAAACAAUAACAUGGUUUAUGUGCUCGUUCUGGGUAAAUAGAGUUUCUAGCAUUUAUGUUAGUUACUUGUUCCCCGGAUAGUUUAGUUACGUAGCCAAUUGUGGAACUUUCUUGCUAAAAUUUUUAAGAAUACUAUUUGGGUUAAACCAAUUAGUUCUUAUCAAUUAUAACGAUUAUCAAUUAACAAUCAAUUCAGAACUGGCACGGACUUGGGGAAUCCGACUGUCUAAUUAAAACAAAGCAUUGUGAUGGCCCUAGCGGGUGUUGACACAAUGUGAUUUCUGCCCAGUGCUCUGAAUGUCAAAGUGAAGAAAUUCUGGGGGGGGAUCUGGGGUAAUUGCGAGCAGAGGGGGAGUAUUUUUCUGUAAUUCGUAAGUCAUAUCAUAUGGUGUGCGGAAGGGGAAUUUUACUCUGUAACUCACAAGUCUCUCCUUUACUCAAGUCGACUCAAAACCUCCUCGUGGUGGUCCCCGGU
rnacentral:ncRNA from 1 species